UACCUUCUCAUUUGCAUUGGCACCUAUCC
rnacentral:piRNA from 1 species